rnacentral:tRNA from 2 species
GGUGCUGUGGUGUAGGGGUUAACAUGUCGGUCUGUCACACCGGAGAUCGCGGGUUCAAAUCCCGUCAGCACCGCCA